AGCCCAGACUCCUACGGGAGGCAGCAGUGGGGAAUAUUGCACAAUGGGGGAAACCCUGAUGCAGCGACGCCGCGUGAGUGAGGAAGUAUUUCGGUAUGUAAAGCUCUAUCAGCAGGGAAGAAAAUGACGGUACCUGACUAAGAAGCCCCGGCUAACUACGUGCCAGCAGCCGCGGUAAUACGUAGGGGGCAAGCGUUAUCCGGAUUUACUGGGUGUAAAGGGAGCGUAGACGGAAUUGCAAGUCUGAAGUGAAAGGCGGGGGCCCAACCCCCGGACUGCUUUGGAAACUGUAUAGCUGGAGUGCAGGAGAGGUAAGUGGAAUUCCUAGUGUAGCGGUGAAAUGCGUAGAUAUUAGGAGGAACACCAGUGGCGAAGGCGGCUUACUGGACUGUAACUGACGUUGAGGCUCGAAAGCGUGGGGAGCAAACAGGAUUAGAUCCCCUGGUACA
rnacentral:rRNA from 1 species